rnacentral:sRNA from 1 species
UUGACGCUGAUUUUUUUUNCAACCUAAAGUAAAGGAACAAGGGUAAGGGAGGAUUUCUCCCCCCUCUGAAUUGGUUGUUAAUAAGCCUGGAAACUUACUAGUAACAACACAAUCAGUAUGAUGACGAGCUUCAUCAUAACCCUUUCCUUCUA